AACGAACGCUGGCGGCAUGCCUAACACAUGCAAGUCGAACGAAGCCUUCGGGCUUAGUGGCGCACGGGUGCGUAACGCGUGGGAAUCUGCCCCUUGCUUCGGAAUAACAGUUAGAAAUGACUGCUAAUACCGGAUGAAGUCUUCGGACCAAAGAUUUAUCGGCAAGGGAUGAGCCCGCGUAGGAUUAGGUAGUUGGUGGGGUAAAGGCCUACCAAGCCGACGAUCCUUAGCUGGUCUGAGAGGAUGAUCAGCCACACUGGGACUGAGACACGGCCCAGACUCCUACGGGGAGCAGCAGUAGGGAAUAUUGGACGAUGGACGCAAGUCUGAUCCAGCAAUGCCGCGUGAGUGAUGAAGGCCUUAGGGUUGUAAAGCUCUUUUACCAGGGAUGAUAAUGACAGUACCUGGAGAAUAAGCUCCGGCUAACUCCGUG
rnacentral:rRNA from 1 species